AAGAAUCUACAUUCAAUAAGCGGAGGAAAAGAAACUAACAAGGAUUCCCCUAGUAACUGCGAGUGAAGCGGGAAAAGCUCAAAUUUAAAAUCUGGUGGUCUUUGAUCAUCCGAGUUGUAAUUUAGAGAAGUGUCUUCUGCGCUGGACCGUGCACAAGUCUCCUGGAAUGGAGCGUCAUAGAGGGUGAGAAUCCCGUCUUUGGCACGGACACACCAGGGCUUUUGUGAUGCGCUCUCAAAGAGUCGAGUUGUUUGGGAAUGCAGCUCAAAAUGGGUGGUGAACUCCAUCUAAAGCUAAAUAUUGGCGAGAGACCGAUAGCGAACAAGUACCGUGAGGGAAAGAUGAAAAGCACUUUGGAAAGAGAGUGAAACAGUACGUGAAAUUGUUGAAAGGGAAACGCUUGAAGUCAGUCGCGUCGGCCGAGACUCAGCCUUGCCUUGGCUUGGUGUACUUCUCGAUCGACGGGUCAGCGUCAAUUUUGCCCCUUGGAUAAUGGCGAGGGAAAUGUGACACCUUUACAGGUGUGUUAUAGUCUCUCGUCGCAUGUGAGGGUCGGGAUUGAGGAACUCAGCACGCGCCUUUGGGUGUCGGGGCUUUGCCCACGAUACGUGCUUAGGAUGUUGGCGUAAUGGCUUUAAACGACCCGUCUUGAAACACGGACCAAGGAGUCUAACAUGCCCGCGAGUGUUCGGGUGGAAAACCCGUGCGCGCAAUGAAAGUAAAAGUUGGGACCUCUGUCAUGGAGGGCACCGACGCCCGGACCAGACCUUCUGUGACGGCUCUGCGGUAGAGCGUGUAUGUUAGGACCCGAAAGAUGGUGAACUAUGCCUGAAUAGGGUGAAGCCAGAGGAAACUCUGGUGGAGGCUCGUAGCGAUUCUGACGUGCAAAUCGAUCGUCAAAUUUGGGUAUAGGGGCGAAAGACUAAUCGAACCAUCUAGUAGCUGGUUCCUGCCGAAUUUUCCCUCCGGA
rnacentral:rRNA from 1 species